ACACUCCUGCGGGAGGCAGCAGUGGGGAAUUUUGGACAAUGGGCGAAAGCCUGAUCCAGCAAUGCCGCGUGAGUGAAGAAGGCCUUCGGGUUGUAAAGCUCUUUUGUCAGGGAAGAAACGGUGAAAGCUAAUAUCUUUUGCUAAUGACGGUACCUGAAGAAUAAGCACCGGCUAACUACGUGCCAGCAGCCGCGGUAAUACGUAGGGUGCAAGCGUUAAUCGGAAUUACUGGGCGUAAAGCGUGCGCAGGCGGUUUUGUAAGUCUGAUGUGAAAUCCCCGGGCUCAACCUGGGAAUUGCAUUGGAGACUGCAAGGCUAGAAUCUGGCAGAGGGGGGUAGAAUUCCACGUGUAGCAGUGAAAUGCGUAGAUAUGUGGAGGAACACCGAUGGCGAAGGCAGCCCCCUGGGUAAAGAUUGACGCUCAUGCACGAAAGCGUGGGGAGCAAACAGGAGUAGAGACCCUAGUAGUCCCAUGAU
rnacentral:rRNA from 1 species